ACUAAAUAGAUACCCCGGUAGUCCACGCCGUAAACGAUGUCAACUAGCCGUUGGUCUUAUUCGUAAGAUUCGUGGCGCAGCUAAACGCGAUAAGUUGACCGCCUGGGGAGUACGGCCGCAAGGUUAAAACUCAAAUGAAUUGACGGGGGCCCGCACAAGCGGUGGAGCAUGUGGUUUAAUUCGAUGCAACGCGAAGAACCUUACCUACCCUUGACAUCCAGAGAAUCUGUGAGAGAUCGUAGAGUGCCUUCGGGAACUCUGAGACAGGUGCUGCAUGGCUGUCGUCAGCUCGUGUCGUGAGAUGUUGGGUUAAAGUCCCGUAACGAGCGCAACCCUUAUCCUUAGUUGCCAACAGGUCAUGCUGGGAACUCUAGGGAGACUGCCGGUGAUAAACCCGGAGGAAGGUGGGGACGACGUCAAGUCAUCAUGGCCCUUAUGGGUAGGGCUACACACGUGCUACAAUGGCCGGUACAGAGGGCAGCGAACUCGCGAGAGCCAGCCAAUCCCACAAAGCCGGUCCUAGUCCGG
rnacentral:rRNA from 1 species